ACUAAACCGUAAAGGCUUAUCGCUAAGCAGACGAUACGAUUUUACGAAUCUGAGGCGGCAGGCGUGAAGCGUUGCCGAUGGAACUGACUAGAACAUAUGACUCCAAGAAGGCUGCUGAUGUCCACAUCAUGAUGUUUUGAUGCCACACUUCCUAGUUCCUAAGGCCACAACCUGGGCUCGGAGGCACAAAUUAUGGUCUCAGGGAAAAGGCUAGGACUAAAGUGAGGACAGAAGCUGAAGACAUGCCAGGUUGGACUGUUGUUAUGUAAGUAUUAUAAAUGAGAAAAUCCUUAGUCUAGACAUUGUACAUUUGUAAACCACUAUUUAGUGUUUAAGACUCCUGUGUGUCCAGAUUGGGCAUCUUGAGUAAGUACUAACAUUUUUUCUAGAGGACAUUGCUGUGUGUCCAGAUUCAGCAUCUUGAGUAAGUACAAACAUUUUUCUAAAGGACAUUGCUGUGUGUCCAGAUUCAGCAUCUUGAGUAAGUACAAACAUUUUUCUAGUGGACAUUGCUGUGUGGGAUAAUGAGGUUUAGAACAGAGAUAAUGGGGACUCAAGGAUUCUUAAUAAAUGUUCCCUCUACUAAUCAUAGAAUAAACCCUAAGACUCAUAGAUCUAUAAAGAAAACAUUGUAAUUUUCAAAUUCAAUUUUCCAAAUAUUUUUUUCCCCCCUAGAUUACAUGAUGAAAGGAUUGCUAGCAUCUCUGAUGAUUCAUGCUAUCUCUGACGAGCGCUCUUACUAGAGGAUUCAGCCAAGAAAGUGCUAAUCUGAUGUGAGCCCAGAGGCAAGUUUGCUAUGGUCAAGUGAUAUGUCUGGCGUAAGCUGUGAAGUGCCUCUGCAAACAAGAAAAACACAGAGAGAUGAAUACAUGUAUUAAUCAAACUCUUGAAGUCACCAGAGUAUUUCGAGUCUUGACAAAACUAUUACUACUGAAGCAACAAAAACAACAACAAAAAAUUGAAUGGUGUGGUUGAAUGGUGUGGUUGAUGAGGAAGUUAAACCAAUGUAUUGUGGUUUAGUGGGAAGUUGUGGCUCUAGCUAGUAACUAACAUUAAAGGUUAUGUACUUCUAAGAUUAUGUUCUAGAACUUGUUUUUGUAAAUGUACCUAGCAGUUGUAAUUCGACAUGUAGAAUGUUGAAAUACGUAUGUUGCAUAGGAAGUUCGCUAUUAAAUCCGAUUGUUUGCUAAAGAACAGUGGUGUCUGUUGGUCACAUCAUAUCAGUUAUUUAAAAUUUUUUUUAAUUGUCAGUUUAACUAGCAGAUGACAAAAGCUUUAAUUUCAUUUCUGUAGUGUCCACAAGUUUAUUUUUUGUUCCGCCAUGGUUACGGGAAAUUGUGCCGUCAAUAAAACACAACUUUGCUAUUUUGUCACUGUCCUUCUCUAACAGUUUGAUAUUGGCUCAUUACUAAUUAUCAAUAAUUUAUUUUUCUACUUAUACAUCUAUUGUCCAGUUAUUAAAAAAUAUUUACAACGAAAAUGAGAAGCUCUCUUUUUUUUAUAAAAAUUCUUAGCUGUAUGUCUAUGACUAAAUUGGAUUUAAGCAAGCACUUUUUAUUCCUGAAGUGCAAGACAGAAAAAUGAGAAAUUAAAUACCAAUUCACAAACACCAACAUAGGGAUAGUAUAUAUCCCAUUACAAAGACGCCUUUGUACAUUCUCAGUUCUUAGUUUGAAAUGAAUAAACAUUGUUAACGACAACAAACAAUUAACAUUCAAAGAGUUAAUAUACAACUGUUGAUAGGUUUUAGAGUUGCUUUGUACCUACAAGCAGAUAGUCCAUUUUAGCCUAGUAGGCAUAUAUAGUUAAUACAUAUAUAUUUAAUACAGAAACUGGAAU
rnacentral:sRNA from 13 species